rnacentral:rRNA from 1 species
UACAGAGGGGGCAAGCGUUGUUCGGAAUUACUGGGCGUAAAGGGCGCGUAGGCGGCCGACUAAGUCAGACGUGAAAUCCCCUGGCUCAACCAGGGAACUGCGUCUGAUACUGGAUGGCUUGAGUUCGGGAGAGGGAAGUGGAAUUCCAGGUGCAGCGGUGAAAUGCGUAGAUAUCUGGAGGAACACCGGUGGCGAAGGCGGCUUCCUGGACCGACACUGACGCUGAGGCGCGAAAGCCAGGGGAGCAAACGGG